rnacentral:rRNA from 1 species
AGUGAACGCUGGCGGUAGGCCUAACACAUGCAAGUCGAACGGCAGCACAGUAAGAGCUUGCUCUUACGGGUGGCGAGUGGCGGACAGGUGAGGAAUACAUCGGAAUCUACUUUUUCGUGGGGGAUAACGUAGGGAAACUUACGCUAAUACCGCAUACGACCUACGGGUGAAAGCAGGGGAUCUUCGGACCUUGCGCGAUUGAAUGAGCCGAUGUCGGAUUAGCUAGUUGGCGGGGUAAAGGCCCACCAAGGCGACGAUCCGUAGCUGGUCUGAGAGGAUGAUCAGCCACACUGGAACUGAGACACGGUCCAGACUCCUACGGGAGGCAGCAGUGGGGAAUAUUGGACAAUGGGCGCAAGCCUGAUCCAGCCAUACCGCGUGGGUGAAGAAGGCCUUCGGGUUGUAAAGCCCUUUUGUUGGGAAGAAAAGCAGCAGGUUAAUACCCCGCUGUUCUGACGGUACCCAAAGAAUAAGCACCGGCUAACUUCGUG